rnacentral:rRNA from 1 species
UACGAAGGGGGCUAGCGUUGCUCGGAAUCACUGGGCGUAAAGGGUGCGUAGGCGGGUCUUUAAGUCAGGGGUGAAAUCCUGGAGCUCAACUCCAGAACUGCCUUUGAUACUGAAGAUCUUGAGUUCGGGAGAGGUGAGUGGAACUGCGAGUGUAGAGGUGAAAUUCGUAGGUAUUCGCAAGAACACCAGUGGCGAAGGCGGCUCACUGGCCCGAUACUGACGCUGAGGCACGAAAGCGUGGGGAGCAAACAGG